rnacentral:rRNA from 1 species
UACGUAGGGGGCAAGCGUUGUCCGGAUUUAUUGGGCGUAAAGAGCGUGUAGGCGGCCUGAAAGGUCAGCUGUGAAAACUCGAGGCUCAACCUCGAGACGUCGGUUGAAACCAUCUGGCUAGAGUCCGGAAGAGGAGUGUGGAAUUCCCGGUGUAGCGGUGAAAUGCGCAGAUAUCGGGAGGAACACCUGUGGCGAAAGCGGCUCACUGGACCAUAACUGACGACUGAUGGCACGAAAAGCUAGGGGAGCAAACAGG